CCUUGAUCUCUACACUACACUUUCCUUUCAUUUUUCAAUAACAAGAGAGAGAGAGAGAGGCGUAGUUCACUUCACUUCACCACUCUCGCAACUUCAAUUCUUCAUUCUUCUUCUCUCUCUUUGACAAGUGUCAACAAUUCUCCUGUCUCGUUCCGUCUCCCGAAUCCGUACGAUUUUCUUUGAGGGUUUGAUCGCGCCGAUGUCUGUUUACCACGAAAUCGGAGGCUCUUCAUCCAUCAUCGGCUUCCGACCCUGCUUCACCAACCGCGCCAGGCUUCGCUGUCCCGCUAAGAUACGCUUUCGCUUUUGAGGUUUUUUUUUUUCUUUUCCUCUCACACAUGAAAUAGUAAUAAUCGCACGAGGUUUCCUUUCCACUCAAAUUAACAAAAAAAAACUGCUAGAUUCUGAAGCAAGCGUUGUGUUGUGUUUUAUUUUCGAUUCCAUGGCCAAAGCUGUUGGAGUUCGGUUCCACCCUACUGGUGUUGAAUUAGUUGUGUACUUUCUGAAGAGGAAAGUGAUGGCAAAAAAAAUCUGUGAUGGUUUCAUUGCUGAACUUGACAUAUACAAGUAUGCUCCUUGGGGUCUCCCAGAUAAGUCUUGUCUGAGAACUGGAGAAUUGGAAUGGUACUUUUUCUGCCCGCUAGAGAAGAAAUAUGGCAGUGGGAGCAAGAUGAAGCUUGCUACCAAAAUUAGGUAUUGGAAAGCUACUGGGAAGGAUAGAGUUGUUCAGCACAAUAAUCGAACUGUGGGGAUGAUAAAGACACUGAUAUUUCACACGGGUAAAUCGCCUUGUGGGGAAAGAACUGAUUGGGUUAUGCAUGAUCAUUCAUAGGCUUGAAGAUAAGGACCUCGCUGACAAAGGGAUUGCUCAGGAUUCCUAUGUAGUCUGCAAGGUCUUCCAAAAGGAAGGUCUUGGUCCCAGGAAGGGGGCACACUGUGCGAGACCAUUUAAUGAGGAAGAGUGGGAUGAUGAGGAAAUUGGAAUACCUUGUGCUGCUUUGACUGCACCAGUUCCCAUCUUGCCUAUGACAUCUGAUGGUUCUGUUCCAAAUGACAAUCUCCCUGCUAGUGGAUGUACUGGGUCAGCAUCCAUAUCAUGUCUAUCAGGAUCACUGCCUUCUCCUGGAGGUCUAUAAUCCUGGUCAGGAAAACAUUGUUGAAGGUGCAUCACCUUCAGAUGAUUUUUUUGAGGGCUUGGAAGACUACUUGGCUGGUUUCUCCUCUGGCCAGAAUACUGAAUUCAACACAAACGGAAUGCGGCUACUACAGGUGAUGUUGGUAACUCUGAUGAAUUUUUUGAGGGCUUGAAAGACUACUGGGCUGCUCUGGCUGGUUUCUCCGCUGGCCAGAAUACAGGUGAUAUUGGGAACUCUGAUAACUUGGACUUCAUAGAGUUGAAUGACCUAGAUACCCCAUUGUUCUAUCCGAUCACACAACCUUGAAGUUAAUAAGAGUCGCAAUAAAGGGGCUGUUUUGGUGAUGACUUACGACUGACCUUUGGCAACUAGCUAGAGGGCUAUUUAAAUUAUGGGUUUAUCUUAUUCUGUGCUUUGAACUUUGGCACUCAAGUUCCGCGAGUGAUUGUGUGUAUGUGUUUUUAUUUUUUUUUUCAUUUUAGAACUUCCUUCUCUUGACGAGAAAAUUGUGUAUUUCAACAUAUUCAUUUGGGGAAUAUCUUAAACAUUAUAUCAAGAGAUUCACUAAAAUACCCAACGUCUUGCUA